rnacentral:snRNA from 1 species
GUGCUUGCUUGGGCAGCAUAUAUACUAAAACUGGGAUGAUACAGAGAAGAAUAGCAUGGCCCUGUGCAAGGAUAACAGGCAAAUUCAUGAAGCAUUAAGCCAGGCA